rnacentral:lncRNA from 1 species
AUGAUGUGGCCAGACAAAAGAAGGUUAAAGCGUGUUUUAUUAAAGUACUUCAGGAGCUACCUUCACAGGUGCGUUGGAAACCCCCUUUAUUGUGAGGUCCUAUGCCAAGACCUUCUCUGUAAGGACAUACUGCUCUUUCAUGACCUACAAAAGGAGGAAGAGGAAAACAGCAAGUGGGAAAAUCUCUCAGCCAUUGCCAUGAAAUCCACAAUGUAUAGUAUUUCUCCUGCCAACUCUGAAGAAGGUCAGGAACUUUAUGUCUGCACAGUCAAGGAUGAUAUGAACUUGGAUACAGUGCUUCUCCCACCCUUUUUGAAAGAAAUAGCAGUAAGCCAACUCGAUCAACUGAGCCCAGAGGAACAGUUGCUGGUCAAAUGUGCUGCAAUCAUUGGUCACUCCUUCCAUAUAGAUCUGUUGCAGCACCUCCUGCCUGGCUGGGAUAAAAAUAAGCUACUUCAGGUGUUGAGAGCUCUUGUGGAUAUACAUGUGCUCUGCUGGUCUGAGAAGAGCCAAGAGCCUCCUAAUGAGCCCAUAUUAGUGCCUUCCUCUGUCAACAUCACUGAUCAAACCAAAGAGAAGAAGACAAAGUUAGAUGGUGGUUCAGCCUCUCUUCUCACACUACAAGAAGAAUUAUCCCUACCUCAAACUGAGGUGUUGGAAUUUGGAGUGCCUCUACUACGGGAAGCUGCUUGGGAGCUCUGGCCCAAGGAACAACAGAUAGCUCUGCACCUUGAAUGUGCCUGCUUUCUCCAAGACUUGGCCUGCCGCUGUGGGAGCUGCCAUGGAGGAGACUUUGUCCCUUUUCAUCGUUUUGCAGUUUGUUCUACUAAGAGUUCCAAGGGAACCUCUCGAUUCUGUACUUACAGAGAUACUGGCUCAGUGCUAACACAAGUGAUCACAGACAAAUUGCAACUGCCUUCUCCCCAAGAUAGUUUUCAGUUCCAGAUGAAACCAUCCAGAACUCAGGAAGCCUUCUCAAGUGAAUGCUGCAGAACAGAGCAAGAGUUCCUAGAUCAAGUGAAGAGGAAGCUGGCUCAGACCAGCCCUGAGACAGACCUGUUGACCACAAAGCCUUGUCACUGUAAGGAUAUCCUGGAGUUAGUGCUCUCACCCCUCACCCAGCAUUGCUUGGUCAUUGGAGAAACCUCCUGUGCAUUUUAUUACCUGCUAGAGGCUGCGGCUGCCUCCUUGGACCUGUCAGAUAGUUACAUGGCCUUCUUUUAUUUGAGGAAGGCAAGCAGUCUUCUGGGCCAACCCUCAGCAUUUUCAUUUUUGAAAAAACACAAGGUGAAGAUCUGUCAGUUUGAGGAGGCCACUUUCUGCUGUCUUCUGUCAGAGGUCUGUUUCAACAUGGGACACAUUACUUUAGCCAAAAAAUUGGCUAGGAAAGCCCUUCGACUGCUGAAAAGGAAUUUCCCUUGGACCUGGUUUGGUGUCCUUUUCCAGACAUUCCUGGAAAAGUAUUGGCAUUCCUGUUCCCCAAGCCAACCUCCAAAUAAUCCUAGUGAGAAUAAGAAGAAGUUGGCAGUCCUGCAGCAGCGGGUGCAUUGCCUCUCCCUACUCUGGCAGCUCUAUAACCUGGAGGCCACAGCCAGUAGCUGCAGGUUUGCUUGCCUCGCUGCUCUGAUGCAGAAACAUUCAGCUGAGGAGCUUGCAAAUGAAGCCCAGGUUGUCUCUACCUAUGUGGACCUCUCUCAGUUCUCCCAGACCAUGGGCAACAAGGAGAAGUGGCUGCACUAUGAGCAAAUGGCCAUUCAAAAAAGCAGUUUAUGUUGGUUCUCCAGGGAGGGAUUGUUGGCCACAGCUCAGCUCGUGCAGGCCCUUGCCUACACCAAGCUGUGCCUUGGCCAUCUCGACUUCUCCAUCAAGCUGGGUUUUCAAGCUCGUGAGAUAUGCAGAUACCUCAAGAAACCAGCUCUGGAGAAUCUGGUCCUCUCAGUUCUCUUCAGAUCUGCAUUUCUGAAGAAGAAAUUUGGUCUGUGUGUCCAUGUACUGGAGAGUCAGUGGGCACUCAUUUCCCAGGGUUAUGAUGUCCUUGGCCUGGCCUGCUUUUAUUCUGCUUGCUUAGAUCUGCUGCUCUACGGAAAAGGAUUGCUGUGUCGGCCCUUUAGUGAAUGUCUGCAUUUCUUUCAAAUCUAUGAGCACAGCUGUGUUCUAAUCUCUCAGAGCAACGUCAUGCUGGGAGUCCACUCCUCCCUCGCCAUGUGGUUUGCCCAGGAGUCACAAUGGGACCUCUUUGAGCACUAUUUCUCUAAGGCUUGCCAGUUGGUGAAAAGCACCAAUGCCUCACUAUUUGGUGCUCAUGGCUUUGUCCGAUUCCUAGAGUGCCAUGUGCUAAUAUUACAGAAGAUGCCAGAGGGUAUCUUCAUGCAUAUUCCCCUAGAGCUUCGCAGCCAAACCCUCGAGUACUUUAAAGAGUUCUUCUCUCGAUGUGUGACCUGCCCUGUCUAUCACCAGUGGGUAUCUGAGCUUAAGGCCUCUGUAAUGAGAUGUGAAAAGAGAGAAUUCAUGUCCCUGACUAACAGCAUCAGGCCUUUUGAUACCUGCUUCACCAGGAUUUGGAUAAAAGGAGACUUUCUGGAGGAAGAUAACUCUUAGAAAUUUAGGAAUACAGAGAUUUGACAGAGUGGCUGAUGUCAAGGAGAGAAGGAUGCAAAAGAAACUCAAGGUGUAUGUGUUAAAACAAAAAAAAACAAUAAUCUGAAGGGACCAUGAUUCUUUUAUUGUAUAUAACAUAAGGAAAUGCCCCAAAUUCUCCUUUUAAAGCUAUAGGAUACAUAUUAAGUAUCCUAGCCUUUACAGUUACUGCUAUCUAUAUCUUUAUCAAAAUAAAAGCCUAUGUUCCUAAUGGGAACUCCAGUCCCGUUAGCAGUCACUUCCCAUUUCCCCUUCCCUCAAUCUUUGUUAACCACUAAUAUAAUUUCUGACUUUAAAGAUUGGCCUAUUCUGGACAUUUCAUUUAAAUGGAAUUAUAAUAUAUGGUCUUUUCUUUCAGUUAGCUUAAUGUUUUCAAGGUUCAUUUAUGGUGUAGGAUUACUUUUUUUUUUUUUGGCGGAGGGGGGAGGCCGUUUAAUGAGCCGGGACAGUAC